AGGACGAACGCUGGCGGCGCGCCUAACACAUGCAAGUCGAGCGAGAACCAGGACUUCGGUCCUGGGGAGAGCGGCGAACGGGUGCGUAACACGUGAGCAACCUGCCCCGAAGACUGGGACAACCGAGGGAAACUUCGGCUAAUACCAGAUGCCCUCACCGGAUCGCAUGGUCUGGUGAGGAAAUGGAUUCCGCUUCGGGAUGGGCUCGCGGUCUAUCAGCUUGUUGGUGGGGUAACGGCCCACCAAGGCAACGACGGAUAGCUGGUCUGAGAGGACGAUCAGCCACACUGGGACUGAGACACGGCCCAGACUCCUACGGGAGGCAGCAGUGGGGAAUCUUGCGCAAUGGGGGAAACCCUGACGCAGCGACGCCGCGUGCGGGAUGAAGGCCUUCGGGUUGUAAACCGCUUUCAGCAGGGACGAAAUUGACGGUACCUGCAGAAGAGGACCGGCCAACUACGUGCCAGCAGCCGC
rnacentral:rRNA from 1 species